UACAGAGGGGGCAAGCGUUGUUCGGAAUUACUGGGCGUAAAGGGCGCGUAGGCGGCCUUCUAAGUCGAACGUGAAAUCCCCGGGCUCAACCCGGGAACUGCGUCCGAUACUGGAAGGCUUGAAUCCGGGAGAGGGAUGCGGAAUUCCAGGUGUAGCGGUGAAAUGCGUAGAUAUCUGGAGGAACACUGGUGGCGAAGGCGGCAUCCUGGACCGGCAUUGACGCUGAGGCGCGAAAGCCAGGGGAGCAAACGGG
rnacentral:rRNA from 1 species